rnacentral:rRNA from 1 species
AACGAACGCUGGCGGCAGGCCUAACAUAUGCAAGUCGAGCGAGCAUUUCGGUGCUAGCGGCGGACGGGUGAGUAACGCGUGGGAACGUGCCCUUUUCUGCGGAAUCGUCCUGGGAAACUGUGGGUAAUACCGCAUACGCCCUUUUGGGGAAAGAUUUAUCGGAGAAGGAUCGGCCCGCGUUGGAUUAGGUAGUUGGUGGGGUAAUGGCCCACCAAGCCGACGAUCCAUAGCUGGUUUGAGAGGAUGAUCAGCCACACUGGGACUGAGACACGGCCCAGACUACUACGGGAGGAAGCAGUGGGGAAUCUUAGACAAUGGGGGCAACCCUGAUCGAGCCAUGCCGCGUGAGUGAUGAAGGCCUUAGGGUUGUAAAGCUCUUUCAGCUGGGAAGAUAAUGGCGGUACCAGCGGAAGAAGCCCCGGCUAACUCCGUG